rfam:Alicyclobacillus ferrooxydans strain TC-34 contig_57, whole genome shotgun sequence.
CCCGCUCAGAACUGCGAGCGCGAACCUACCGUGACAUGGGGUGGCGGUAACGCCGUCUUGUGAAGCUCACGGGACAAUGUAGCCGCGAACUGAGAGAGUGAACUCGGUCCGGAGC